rnacentral:misc_RNA from 1 species
GAAUAAUAGAGUGAGGAACAGUGUGGAUUCGUCUCCGGUGGGUAAAAGGAAGAUUUUUCAAGAUGUUGACGAGCUGAAGGAAGAAACAGAGUUAGAGGUUGCAGAGUUGGAUAAAGAAGAAGAUAGUGAAUGUGAAAAGUCAACUAUAGUUAAGUCGAAGAGACCUGGAAGAAUAAAAGCUUCAAAUGUAAGGGUUACUGAGCAGCAAGAAACUGGUACAGGUGGUGGUGUGGAGGAUGGUAAGAUGAUAGACCAGGAGGAGCUGCUACAUGUGAGGGAUGAAACAGAUGACAGCAUUUCAACAACUAGAUUUAAGGAGGGGGUUGAGGAUGGCAAUGUGGCAUUGCCGUUAGAUAAUGAAGACAAGGCUCAGUUAGAGACUUGUGUAGAGCCAGAAGAAUUCCAC